UUCUAAAAUGUCAGUGCGUUCGGUGUAAUGGCGUCGAUACAAUCUCUGUCUGCGUCCCUCUUUUAAUACAAGGUUAUAAAGCUAACGUUUUGUCCCGGCUUUGUAAGUGAAAAAUGCUAAAAACAAACAUAACAUAAAUAAGAUUCCUAGAGACCUACCAUAGAAUGGUCCCACCAUUAUACCAUUGAUGUCGUAGUAGAUGACAGACACAAGCCUUGGCAACUGAUAAGUAGCAACAACAUUCCCAAAGAGGAUAGUAAUUACCGUACAAAGCAGUAGCAAACAUGGUCAUUGUCACUCCAGCCACUGCAUAGUGUACGUGAUAGUACCGUACCUGUCGCGAUCGCGAUAGUCCAUUAAAGGGCAAUCAAGCAGAAAAGUCCGCGGGGUAAGCGCUCCGGAUCCAAUUAGGCGCAGCGUGGUAAAUAUAUUAAAUUGCUCCGGAUACAUUUACAUUGACGAAAGAGAGUCGCGGUGAGUUAGCUUAGUAAUCUUUGACGGGAUUACUCCAUAGACAAAGAAUAUUUUAUUUUACGAAUUUUUGAAAUCAUAACUAUGCAGAGAAAUAUACUAUUUCUGCUUAGUUGGUAUAAUUAUCUAUAUUCUAACCCUGUUAUUCAUAAAAAAGUUUAAACCAAAAUAUGUUUUGUCUCGUUCUGUCAAUGUAAAAUAUUGUAUUGCGAUGGUGACAAAACAUUAGUUUUUUUGUACUUUAACUUUUUCUCACAAUAAUGACAGGAGUAUACCUAAGUAAUGAAUUGUACAGCAGCGCCACGCCUCUGUGAGCGGGUAUCAAUACUUAGAAAUUCAUCAAUAUCAUCAACUUACUAUUUUCAUAUUCAUUCGACUUGAAAAUUGGACUCCAAAUUACGAAAUCCUUGUUGUCCACUUGAAGCUACCUUAUUUAUCGUUCACCUAAAGCUUUAUGAACCAUAAAACCCUCUUCCCGUUCAUUUGUUGUACAAGUGUCGUGUCUAAUGUCUAUUUUAUGUAUCGCGCGCGAGGUGUCCUCAUUAAACAUCAUAAUUUAUAUUUGAACACGUAAUAACUUUUUUAUUAACUUUUCUUUUAGGUGUUUCCGAGAUAUAAAGUUUUGCAUGUUUAUAAAACUUAUGAAUAUCUUUAUCUAGGUAAGAAUGAUCUUUUUUUUUUUAAUUUAUAAAAAUAACUUCCAUAGAAUGCAUGUAAAACCUCAGUUAUAACAUAGGGUGAGUUACACUGUCAAAUUUGUCUGAUUGAUUAUUAUGUGAUUAUUAUGUGACGUUUAGACAAAUGCGUUUUUCUGUGCGUCUACAACGUUAAAUUUGAUGGUGCAAUUCACCUUUAAUUUCAAAUCCCAUUUUCAAAUUUCGACUAUCCUACAUUCAAAUGCAUAUAUUUAAUAAGUGAAUUAUAAUUAAACCAAAGAUACUACUUAAUUAUGCUUUUAAUUCAGAUGUUCGAUACAAUUGCAUAAAUUCCAAAUCUAUUAAGUACAAUGUACUCGACUCAGAAAAUCAAAUUUAAAUAUAUUCAAAAAUUAUUUCCAAGAAGUGCAUAGCACCAAACACGAAAUAUAAAAUGUUGUAGUCCUUCUGAGAAUGGAAUCUCGCGUGAUACCACCCUGAAAUCGAAUCCUAGGAGUGUCUGCCGCUGACAGCCGACACUCGAGACCCUCACCGAGACGGGCUCAAUAAGCCGCCAGCUCAUCAAAUCUCCAUUUCCAACUAACGCUCGCUGACCGCAGUUAAGUUUAUAGUCGUAGAACUCAUACAAUAAAGUCAAUAAAAGUUUAGAAGUGUCAACGCGCAUAAAUUGAGGCGAUUUUUAAUCACUUUGUCUGUUGCGUGUUGUGUAGAUACCGCAUUGCUACGAGAAUCGUAGGCGUCGUAGUGGUUCUACAAGUAAUGCUACGGGGCAGCGCGGCGGCACAAACAUAAUCCAUAAAUAACAAAAUUAUAAAAAGAAAAUAUUUAUAUUUUUGUUUUGUUUGUAAACUCAAAAACGACUGGGAAAAUUUGAUGAAAAACGGAUAAACGAAACCCUCAGGAGUAACGUAGGCUACUUUUUUGUAUUUUACCCGAGCGAAGCCGGGACGGGCCGCUAGUCGUAUAUUUACAUACUAAUUUAUUUAUAAAUAUGAAGGUGUCUGUAAUAUUUUGGGUCGAUUUUUAUCAAAUUUAGAAUAGAUAAAGUUAACAGCCCGAGGUGAAACAUAGGCUUCCGCAGGCGGAGUUGCGGCCAAAAGCUAGGAAUCGUUAUAUAUUUUUAAUUAUCUACUAAAGUUGCCUGGGGCUUCGAGUUGAGGAAAGAUGUAGCCUUUGUCAUGCUCCACCAUCUCUAUCCCCAACCAUCUCCAGACCAAAAAUCGCCACAGUCCAAUGUUCCGUUUCAACGUUAAAGAAGGAAAAUCAGACAGGCUUUUAUAUUAAUUAUAUUAUUAUGGAUAUGGAAGUAAGGAUUUAAUUAUUCACUAUUGCGUGUUUGGAUAUGUGUGGGCGAGUAGGCGUGGAUGUUUGUCACUAAAUAAUGCAAAAUCUACCCAACGGAUUUUGAUAAAAUUACAUUGGCAGCUGGAGUACAUAAAAUACUUUUUAUCAUGGCCGAGUGUAGUUGUUUCGUAGUAUCUCAUAAUAAUGUGAUUGUUUCACAGGUAAUAAGCAUGGACAGUCGAAAUCCGAAACCUUCGCCAAAAUAACCCUUAAUUGUUCUAUUAAUAAAGAAUUGCGAGUUGAAUUGAGAAAACCUUACAAUCUCCUUCCCUAUAACUUUCUUCUUCACGCUCGUUACAUUCGCUGAUUGUGAUACUUCUAAUCUCUUGUUUUGUAAGAACAAACAUGUAAUUUGUAGAUUGGAGUAAACCCUUGUUUCUGUACAGUGUCGGACCUAAACUCAGAUAAGCCACUGGGUAAUUAUGUGGGCUAGUGGAAAAGGAAAAUAAGAAAUUAUGACAAAGAAAUUACGCCAGGAGGAUUACACAGGAUUGCUUAUUUGUAAAUCUCUUAUGGCUUAUAUUAAUGAACAUUUAUAAUGCCGGCUUCACAUUGUCAUCGAACAGUUUACCAAAUUAUGGCGGAUUCGGUAUACAUUGCUGGUUUUUCUG